AUUGAACGCUGGCGGCAUGCCUUACACAUGCAAGUCGAACGGUAACAGGUCUUCGGAUGCUGACGAGUGGCGAACGGGUGAGUAAUACAUCGGAACGUGCCUAGUAGUGGGGGAUAACUACUCGAAAGAGUGGCUAAUACCGCAUGAGAUCUACGGAUGAAAGCAGGGGAUCGCAAGACCUUGUGCUACUAGAGCGGCCGAUGGCAGAUUAGGUAGUUGGUGGGAUAAAAGCUUACCAAGCCGACGAUCUGUAGCUGGUCUGAGAGGACGAUCAGCCACACUGGGACUGAGACACGGCCCAGACGCCUACGGGAGGAAGCAGUGGGGAAUUUUGGAAAAUGGGCGCAAGCCUGAUCCAGCAAUGCCGCGUGCAGGAGGAAGGCCUUCGGGUUGUAAACGGCUUUUGUACGGAACGAAAAGCCCUGGGUUAAUACCCUGGGGUCAUGACGGUACCGUAAGAAUAAGCACCGGCUAACUACGUGCCAGCCGCCGCCGUAAUAC
rnacentral:rRNA from 1 species